rnacentral:rRNA from 1 species
ACGAACGCUGGCGGCGUGCUUAACACAUGCAAGUCGAACGGAAAGGCCCUGCUUUUGUGGGGUGCUCGAGUGGCGAACGGGUGAGUAACACGUGAGUAACCUGCCCUUGACUUUUGGAUAACUUCAGGAAACUGGGGCUAAUACCGGAUAGGAGCUUCUUCUGCCUGGUGGGGGUUUGAAAGUUUCGGCGGUUGGGGAUGGACUCGCGGCUUAUCAGCUUGUUGGUGGGGUAGUGGCUUACCAAGGCUUUGACGGGUAGCCGGCCUGAGAGGGUGACCGGCCACAUUGGGACUGAGAUACGGCCCAGACUCCUACGGGAGGCAGCAGUGGGGAAUAUUGCACAAUGGGCGGAAGCCUGAUGCAGCAACGCCGCGUGCGGGAUGACGGCCUUCGGGUUGUAAACCGCUUUCGCCUGUGACGAAGCGUGAGUGACGGUAAUGGGUAAAGAAGCACCGGCUAACUACGUG